rnacentral:tRNA from 1 species
GUGGGUGUAGCUCAGUGGUAGAGCGCACGCUUAGCAUGCAUGAGGUCCUGGGUUCAAUCCCCAGUGCCUCUA